UUUGUACUAUGCAAAGCUUACAG
rnacentral:miRNA from 1 species